UGUUUGAUGUUCUAACGUGGACCCGUGAUCCGGGUUGCGGACAGUGUCUGGUGGGUAGUUUGACUGGGGCGGUCUCCUCCUAAAGAGUAACGGAGGAGCACGAAGGUUGGCUAAUCCUGGUCGGACAUCAGGAGGUUAGUGCAAUGGCAUAAGCCAGCUUGACUGCGAGCGUGACGGCGCGAGCAGGUGCGAAAGCAGGUCAUAGUGAUCCGGUGGUUCUGAAUGGAAGGGCCAUCGCUCAACGGAUAAAAGGUACUCCGGGGAUAACAGGCUGAUACCGCCCAAGAGUUCAUAUCGACGGCGGUGUUUGGCACCUCGAUGUCGGCUCAUCACAUCCUGGGGCUGAAGUAGGUCCCAAGGGUAUGGCUGUUCGCCAUUUAAAGUGGUACGCGAGCUGGGUUUAGAACGUCGUGAGACAGUUCGGUCCCUAUCUGCCGUGGGCGCUGGAGAACUGAGGGGGGCUGCUCCUAGUACGAGAGGACCGGAGUGGACGCAUCACUGGUGUUCGGGUUGUCAUGCCAAUGGCACUGCCCGGUAGCUAAAUGCGGAAGAGAUAAGUGCUGAAAGCAUCUAAGCACGAAACUUGCCCCGAGAUG
rnacentral:rRNA from 1 species